ensembl:lncRNA
ACGCAUUUCACAUGAUAUCAACCUGCGUUCCAUGGCUUCUCUAUACACAAAGGAAUUCUCUAAAUCUUUAUUGAAGAUUUAUGAUAAAAACAUCCUAAAAUUUGAUUCUAUACUUAGUUUGAAAUGUUUCUAAGACCUGUAAUAUAACUUUUUGAAGUUUUUGGCUGAAGUUAUGCGGGACCUGCACGAGCGUUUGGAUUUGUAUACCUAAACCCUAGCAAAGUAGCUACUUGGACAUAAAUAAUGGACAUUAUCGAACAAAUCAAGCAUUUAUUGUGGAACCUGGGAGUGCAUUCUGAUGAAGAUCAUAAAAGUCCUAUGAGUGUCAUCUGAUGAAGAUCCUCAAAGGACUGCCGGGCAGAUUUCUCCAGGCACUUGUCACGAGUCCGACCAAAGGUGGCUCCCCUUCCCGUUCGGGUGGCGCUCUGCGGUCGUCGUCACCGGCCUACUAGCUGCCACGGACUUCUUUCCUCCCCCUCCUUAUGUGUUUAUUGGUAUCACCUGUUUUAGUUUGUUGUAAUUAGUUGGGCUUUAUUAGUCAGCCGGCCCGCCCGUUUCUUUGUGCGGGAUUGAUUAUUGUAACCCUGGUGUUUGUUACAUGUUGAACGUGUUGGUUUAUGUUCGUGUAUAGGCCUGGACUUUUUUGUUCCCCGUGUCUGGGGCAUUUUGUUUUGAGCACCCAGUGUUUAGUGGGGUGGCCGUGGUUCACCGUGUGUGCAUUAAAGGAGCAUUAUAUUGAACUCUCUGUUUUCCUGCGCCUGACUUCCCACUCAAGACACCCAGUACCUUACAGCG